CGUAGGGUGCGAGCGUUAAUCGGAAUUACUGGGCGUAAAGCGUGCGCAGGCGGUUUUGUAAGACAGGCGUGAAAUCCCCGGGCUCAACCUGGGAACUGCGCUUGUGACUGCAAGGCUAGAGUACGGUAGAGGGGGGUGGAAUUCCACGUGUAGCAGUGAAAUGCGUAGAGAUGUGGAGGAACACCAAUGGCGAAGGCAGCCCCCUGGGUCGAUACUGACGCUCAUGCACGAAAGCGUGGGUAGCAAACAGGAUUAGAUACCCUGGUAGUCCACGCCCUAAACGAUGUCAACUAGGUGUUGGGUGGGUAAAACCAUUUAGUACCGGAGCUAACGCGUGAAGUUGACCGCCUGGGGAGUACGGCCGCAAGGUUA
rnacentral:rRNA from 1 species